rnacentral:rRNA from 1 species
GAUGAACGCUGGCGGCGUGCCUAAUACAUGCAAGUCGAGCGAACAGACGAGGCGUUUGCUCCUCUGACGUUAUCGGCGGACGGGAGAGUAACACUUGGAUAACCUACCUAUAAGACUGUGAUAACUUCGGGAAACCGGAGCUAAUACCGGAUGAUAUAUUGAACAACAUUGUUCACUAGUUAGAUUCGGUUUUUCUUUCACUUAUAGAUUGAUACGCGCCGCAUUAGCUAGUUGGUAAGGUAACGGCUUAACAAGGCUACGAUGGGUAGCCGACCUGAGCGGGUGAACGGACAGCCGGGAAGUGAGGAAGGGUCGAGACUCCUACGGGAGGCAGCAGUAGGGAAUCUUACGCGAGGGGGGAAAGCCGGACGGAACAAAGCCGCGGGAGCGAUGAAGGUCUCAGGACCGGAAAGCGAUGUUAGUAGGGAAGAACAAAUGUGUAAGUAACUAUGCACGUAUUGACGGUACCUAAUCAGAAAGCCACGGCUAACUACGUG